GACAGAGGAUGCAAACGUUGUUCGGAAUUACUGGGCGUAAAGGGCUCGUAGGCGGCCAACUAAGUCAGACGUGAAAUCCCUCGGCUUAACCGGGGAACUGCGUCUGAUACUGGAUGGCUUGAGUUUGGGAGAGGGAUGCGGAAUUCCAGGUGUAGCGGUGAAAUGCGUAGAUAUCUGGAGGAACACCGGUGGCGAAGGCGGCAUCCUGGACCAACACUGACGCUGAGGAGCGAAAGCCAGGGGAGCAAACGGG
rnacentral:rRNA from 1 species